GAUGAACGCUGGCGGCGUGCCUAACACAUGCAAGUCGAGCGGACAGACGGUGAGCUUGUGCCUCUGCCGGUUGCGGCGGGCGGGUGAGUAACACAUGGAUAACAUCCCUCUAAUUCUGGGAUAACAUCGGAAGACAGGAUCUAAUACCGGAGAAUAUAUUGAACCGCAGGGUUCAAUAGUUAAAGACGGUUUUGCCGUCAGUUAUAGAUGGUUCCGCGCCGCAUUAGCUAGUUGGUAAGGUAACGGCUUACCAAGGCAACGAUGCGUAGCCGACCUGAGAGGGUGAUCGGCCACACUGGAACUGAGACACGGUCCAGACUCCUACGGGAGGCAGCAGUGGGGAAUCUUACGCAAUGGGCGGAAGCCUGACGGAGCAACGCCGCGUGAAUGAUGAAGGUCUUCGGAUCGUAAAGCUCUGUUAUUAGGGAAGAACAAAUGUGUAAGUAACUAUGGACGUCUUGACGGUACCUAAACAGGAAGCCCCGGCUAACUACGUG
rnacentral:rRNA from 1 species